UACGAAGGGGGCUAGCGUUGUUCGGAAUCACUGGGCGUAAAGCGCACGUAGGCGGCUCUUUAAGUCAGGGGUGAAAUCCCGAGGCUCAACCUCGGAACUGCGUUUGAUACUGGGGAUCUCGAGUCCGGGAGAGGUGAGUGGAACUGCGAGUGUAGAGGUGAAAUUCGUAGAUAUCAAGUGGAACACCAGUGGCGAAGGCGAGUCCCUGGACAACUCCUGACACUGAGGCACGAAAGCUAGGGGAGCAAACAGG
rnacentral:rRNA from 1 species